rnacentral:rRNA from 1 species
AAUCAACGCUGGCGGCGUGCCUCAGACAUGCAAGUCGAACGCGAAAGUUCCCUUCGGGGGGCGAGUAGAGUGGCGCACGGGUGAGUAACACGUAGGUAAUCUACCUUUGGGUGGGGAAUAACAGCCGGAAACGGCUGCUAAUACCGCAUAAUGCAGCGGCUCGACAUCGAGACAGUUGUUAAAGCGGGGGAUCGCAAGACCUCGCGCCUAAAGAGGAGCCUGCGGCGGAUUAGCUUGUUGGUGAGGUAAUGGCUCACCAAGGCAUCGAUCCGUAGCCGGCCUGAGAGGGCGGUCGGCCACACUGACACUGACAUACGGGUCAGACUCC